CUCUCGUAGGUGGAAACUCGGAGUGAUCAUUACCCGAGUUUACAACUCCCAAACCCCGUGUGAACAUACCACUUGUUGCCUCGGCGGAUCAGCCCGCUCCCGGUAAAACGGGACGGCCCGCCAGAGGACCCCUAAACUCUGUUUCUAUAUGUAACUUCUGAGUAAAACCAUAAAUAAAUCAAAACUUUCAACAACGGAUCUCUUGGUUCUGGCAUCGAUGAAGAACGCAGCAAAAUGCGAUAAGUAAUGUGAAUUGCAGAAUUCAGUGAAUCAUCGAAUCUUUGAACGCACAUUGCGCCCGCCAGUAUUCUGGCGGGCAUGCCUGUUCGAGCGUCAUUUCAACCCUCAAGCACAGCUUGGUGUUGGGACUCGCGUUAAUUCGCGUUCCUCAAAUUGAUUGGCGGUCACGUCGAGCUUCCAUAGCGUAGUAGUAAAACCCUCGUUACUGGUAAUCGUCGCGGCCACGCCGUUAAACCCCAACUUCUGAAUGUUGAACUCGGAUCAGGUAGGAAUACCCGCUGAAGCUGCGCAUAUCAUAAAGCGGAGGAA
rnacentral:rRNA from 1 species